GUGUCAGCAGCCGCGGUAAUACGGAGGGGGCAAGCGUUACUCGGAAUUAUUGGGCGUAAAGGGCGCGUAGGCGGUCGUGCGCGUCGGAGGUGAAAUCCCCGGGCUUAACCCGGGAGCUGCCUCCGAUACGGCAUGGCUUGAGUCCGGGAGAGGGGAGCAGAAUUCCCAGUGUAGCGGUGAAAUGCGUAGAUAUUGGGAGGAAUACCGGUGGCGAAGGCGGCUCCCUGGACCGGUACUGACGCUGAGGCGCGAAAGCGUGGGUAGCAAACAGGAUUAGAUACCCUGGUAGUCC
rnacentral:rRNA from 1 species